rnacentral:rRNA from 1 species
CAGUCGCCACGGUAAUACGAAGGGUGCAAGCGUUAAUCGGAAUUACUGGGCGUAAAGCGUGCGUAGGCGGCUUCUUAAGUCGGAUGUGAAAUCCCUGAGCUUAACUUAGGAAUUGCAUUCGAUACUGGGAAGCUAGAGUAUGGGAGAGGAUGGUAGAAUUCCAGGUGUAGCGGUGAAAUGCGUAGAGAUCUGGAGGAAUACCGAUGGCGAAGGCAGCCAUCUGGCCUAAUACUGACGCUGAGGUACGAAAGCAUGGGGAGCAAACAGGAUUAGAUACCCGGGUAGUCCCUGUCUCUUAUAC